AAAAAAAAGGAUGUGCUUUUGCGCAUAACUCCUCUCAACACCUUUGGCCCGUAAAAAAGGCCGGGGGUUGAAUGAGUCCCUUAACCCUUUGUGAACUUUAUAUCUUAUGCUUCGGCAGCACGCUCCCUCCUUUACGGAGGGAGUUGGUAAGGCUGCCGAUAGCCCAUUUAAAACUAUUUUUAUUUUAAAUCAUGAAGUCUGAUUACUGUUAAAUUUAAACAAGUUA
rnacentral:misc_RNA from 1 species